AUUUUCUUUUAAAUUUUAUGUUUUUAUGUUAGUAACUUAAUAGAACCAUAAUCAAAAUACCAAAGCAAAUCUGAAUUCUCAUUUUUAAGAUUAUUUAAAAUAAAUUUUAGUCUUCAUUCAAUAAAUCAAAGGUAUAAAGUUAUUUAGAAUUUAUAAAAUAUUUUAAUUAUUGUAAAUAUUGAUAUGUACUCAUGAGAUUUCAAAAAUGUAUUAGUUACUUACGCAUGUAACUUCCUAUUGAUCAUCGUUUUAUAUUUUAAUAUAUUUUUUUACAAACAUCAACAUAUAAUUUGAUAAAUAUUAUGAAAAUACAUGCACAUUUGACUUAAUUAUAAUAAAAAAUAAUUAUACUUCAUUUUGAAUUUGAAAGAAUAUAUGUAACUCAAUAUACUCACAACAUGAGUGAUUCGACUAAUCCAACUUAUAUCUAAAAUCAUAUAUUUAACUACGAUAAGAAUAUAUAAUUUUAUAAGAAUAGUAAUUUAUUUUAUAAAUAUAAAUCAUAGGACAACUCAAAGCAUAUUAAAAAUGAAAAUAGAAUAUUAACCACCUUUUACAAUUUAGAUCUUUUGUAAAAUUUAUAUAUAUGCAUGAGACUUCAGAAUAUUGUCGUUUCGUUAUAUUAAUUUAUGUAAUUUGGAAUCAGACACUUUAAUUUAUUUAUUUUAUUUCAUUCUAAGCACAAUAUAUCUUAAGUUAUACAUAAUCUUCAUAAAAUGUAUUCACAUAUCUAAGAUAACAACUACCUAAAUGUAAAUAAGAAAUUAACCAAAAUUUUAAUAUAUAGAACAAAAACAUUACAGUUGAAUUCGUAGAUCCAAUCCAAUUUACCUAAAUGAUAACUAAAUCAAUUGAAAAACAACAAAAUCGAUUAGAUAUAACAUAUAUAAAAUCAUAUGUAUAAUUAAAGUAACAUAAUAUUAUUAAUAUAAAUGAUGCAUAUAAAUUAUAAAUUAAUUUAAAAUUAAAAGUAAGUGACAAUCAAUUAUUAUAAUAUAUUUACUUUAAAAAUAUUUAUACUCGUGCAUGAGCACGGGAAAAUCACCUAGUUCCUUAUUAGUAGACAUGAAUACAGGUAGGUCGAUGUCAAAAAAGAAAGAAAGAAUACUGGUAGGUCUAUGUAACAUCCAGUUAAUUUGUUAUAUAUGGUAAAGGGGUUAAAAGAAUUGUUUUGAUUAUUUUUGUCAUUAAAUUGCAUUUAUAUUUUUGGUUCGAAAAAAACUCUAAAGUUAAACGUUGUUGAAUUUGAACUGGAGUAGUGAAAAUAUAGAUUGGUUUGUAAUAUUGUGCAAGUAAAGUCACAAAAGAAAACUCAUGUGGUUGUUUUAAAUAAUAAAACAAUUCUUUCAAGUUUUUCAAAAAUUAAGGCACUAAGAGCAUAAUUAUUGGGGGUUCUUAGAGUGAGAUUUUUAUCGGAAUAUAAGAAUCCGUCUCUUAACUUUUAACUACAAAAGCUAAGAACCGACUCUUAAAACUCUUAUUUAAAAACUGGUUCUUAGCUUUUUUAGUUAAAAGUUAAGAGACAAUUUCUUAACUUCUGCUAAAAACCUCACUCUAAAAACCCCGGGUUAAUCAUGGUCUAAUAAAUGUUGACAUCUACGUGCCGAGUAAAAAGGUGUGGGAGACCCAUUAGCCAUUGGGCGCUGGUAGUUGGAGCGUUACAGUUUCAAUAUUCAUAUUUUGUGUGAAUGUUUUUAAAAAGGUUGUGUGAAAGUUUGAAGAAGAUUAUUCACUUUGAAUCAAACAUCAUCCCAUCUAAACCUCAAAUACGAACUAGUUCCUCUCUCUAACGAUGGCAUCGAAAUAAUUAUAUCUGGAUUGACUGAAAACAUCGGUAUGUUAGGCGGUUUGUCUUGAUCGACCAAAAUUGAUUCGAGAUCUCGGAUUUAGCAAAACAACAAGGUUUAUAGUCUUCUGGAAUCCUUUCGCUAACACCAUGGAUACAUCACGCUAUGAGGAAACUGUAGUAGUGUUGCUUUGGAUAAUGGUGGUGAUGUCCGUCAUUGUUUUUCUUUUCGGUUCUUGUAUUUGUGUUAAAUGUUCCUUGCGGGCAUGUAAAGAGAACGAUGAAGAAAUUGUGCAUCUGAAUAUCAAAGCAUGAAUCUAAACCCAAGAGCAUGAAAGAUGGACAACGAUCAAGGCAAAGCAUAACCUUUGCAAAUCAAGAUAUUUUUAGUGAUUAGGAAUUAGGGAAAAGCUUUAAGACUUUUACUCUUAAUAGGGUUUAUCGUUCGAAGUUCUUUUUAUUUUCUGGUUAUACGUGGGUUUUAAAUAUUUGCUUGAUUUUUAUUACGUUCUUUAUGUUUUCUUAUGGAAUUUGCUUCAUCAGUCUCUCUUUUCUCUCUGUUAAAAUACAUGAAAUUUACAUCAAUAAUCUUGUGGUUAUCUAUUUA